rnacentral:rRNA from 1 species
AUUGAACGCUGGCGGCAUGCCUUACACAUGCAAGUCGAACGGUAACGCGGGGCAACCUGGCGACGAGUGGCGAACGGGUGAGUAAUGCAUCGGAACGUGCCCAGUAGUGGGGGAUAGCCCGGCGAAAGCCGGAUUAAUACCGCAUACGACCUAAGGGUGAAAGCGGGGGAUCGUAAGACCUCGCGCUAUUGGAGCGGCCGAUGUCAGAUUAGGUAGUUGGUGGGGUAAAGGCCUACCAAGCCUUCGAUCUGUAGCUGGUCUGAGAGGACGACCAGCCACACUGGGACUGAGACACGGCCCAGACUCCUACGGGAGGCAGCAGUGGGGAAUUUUGGACAAUGGGCGCAAGCCUGAUCCAGCCAUGCCGCGUGCGGGAAGAAGGCCUUCGGGUUGUAAACCGCUUUUGUCAGGGAAGAAACGCUCUGGGCUAAUACCCCGGGGUAAUGACGGUACCUGAAGAAUAAGCACCGGCUAACUACGUGCCAGCAGCCGCAGUAACAC